rnacentral:rRNA from 1 species
AUUGAACGCUGGCGGCAGGCUUAACACAUGCAAGUCGAGCGGUAACAGAGAGUAGCUUGCUACUCUGCUGACGAGCGGCGGACGGGUGAGUAAUGCCUAGGAAUCUGCCUAAUAGUGGGGGAUAACUUGCCGAAAGGUAAGCUAAUACCGCAUACGUCCUACGGGAGAAAGCAGGGGACCUUCGGGCCUUGCGCUAUUAGAUGAGCCUAGGUCGGAUUAGUUAGUUGGUGAGGUAAUGGCUCACCAAGACCGCGAUCCGUAACUGGUCUGAGAGGAUGAUCAGUCACACUGGAACUGAGACACGGUCCAGACUCCUACGGGAGGCAGCAGUGGGGAAUAUUGGACAAUGGGGGAAACCCUGAUCCAGCCAUGCCGCGUGUGUGAAGAAGGUCUUAGGAUUGUAAAGCACUUUAAGUUGGGAGGAAGAGCAGUUAACUAAUAUUUGACUGUUUUGACGUUACCGACAGAAUAAGCACCGGCUAACUUCGUG